AGUCUGGUGCCAGCAGCCGCGGUAAUUCCAGCUCCAAUAGCGUAUAUUAAAGUUGUUGCAGUUAAAAAGCUCGUAGUUGAAGUUCUGGCUGUUCGAUCCUCGAGCUCUGUAGCCGAGGACUCGACAGUCAUCCGCUUGCAAAUAUAUGUUCGCCUUUAACCGGGCGGCUAUAUGAGUAAGCAAUUUACCUUGAGAAAAACAGAGUGUUCCAGGCAGGUUUGUCCGGAAUGCAUUAGCAUGGAAUAAUAGAAUAUGACUGAAGUCGAUUUAUUGGUUUGAGGCUUUAGUAAUGAUUAAUAGGAACAGUCGGGGGCAUUGGUACUUGACAGUCAGAGGUGAAAUUCUAGGAUUUGUCAAAGACUAACAAAUGCGAAAGCAUUUGCCAAGGAUGUUUUCAUUAAUCAAGAACGAAAGUUAGGGGAUCAAAGACGAUCAGAUACCGUCCUAGUCUUAACUAUAAACUAUACCGACUCGGAUUCAGAUGAAUCAUAAAGUUCAUUUGGGACCGUAGGAGAAAUCAAAGUUUUUGGGUUCUGGGGGAAGUAUGGUCGCAAGGCUGAAACUUAAAGGAAUUGACGGUUUUGCACCACCAUGGAGUGGAGUCUGCGGCUUAAUUUGACUCAACACUGGGAAACUCAUCAGGGCAAGAAGAUUGUAGGAUUGACAGAUUGAGAGUUCUUUCUUGAUUGGUCUAGUGGUGGUGCAUGGCCGUUCUUAGUUGGUGGAGUGAUUUGUCUGGUUAAUUCCGUUAACGAACGAGACCUUAACCUGCUAACUAGUACACAGAUGACAAAUCUGUGAUACUUCUUAGAGGGACUAUGUGAUGUAAUCACAUGGAAGUUUGAGGCAAUAACAGGUCUGUGAUGCCCUUAGAUGUCCUGAGCUGCACGCGUACUACAAUGGUGCUUUCAACGAGCUUUUCCUGAUCCGAAAGGAUUUGGGUAAUCUUUUUAGUGAGCACCGUGCUUGGGAUAGAUCUUUGUAAUUAUGGAUCUUGAACUAGGAAUUCCUAGUAAGCGCGCGUCAUCAGCGCGUGCUGAUUACGUCCCUGCAAAAUGUACACACCGCCCGUCGCUAUUACCGAUUGAGUGUAAAGGUGAACCUUCUCGAUAGACGCAAGUCCAGAAAUUAAGUAAACCUUUGCACUUAGAGGAAAUAAAAGUCGUAACAAGGUUUCCGUAGGUGAACCUGCGGAAG
rnacentral:rRNA from 1 species